GCAAGAUCCAAAAGUGGUGCAAUAGACAAAAGAAGAGUUUGAUAGGCACUAAUUCAGAAAAUAGGUUAGCUGACUGAAACAUUAAACAACAAAUCCAAAGUGGUGUCAGAGUCAAGAAAAUAAGUUAGACAUAACGUAGAAAGUACCUCGUAAAUGGGGAAACACUUAUCUCAACAACCGAAAAUCCAAUCUUCCCUAUAUUUGUUGUUAUACCCCAACGGGGUUUCAGAAAUAAGCUACAUCUUGUACAAACAUUGGACAAAAAAAUUCCUAAAUGGUUUGAGAAUCUAGAAUAGAAGGUAGAAACAAUGUACAAAAGUGAGAAUAUCUCUUAAACAGGGAAAAUUCAUCUCAACAAUCAAAAAUCCAAUCUUCCCACCGGUCUUUUUCUCUUCCUUCCCAUUUGAUUAAAGACUCCUAACCUCCUACAAGUUCAGCUGCCAUAUUAUAACAAUUACCUCUUCACUUGUUACAAGUGUUUCCCCAUUACAGUCCCAAAAGAGUCUCCAUGGCUUCACAUGCAUAGACAUAAUAACUGAAGCCUCUAAAUAUCAUAAGAUUACGCUCAAGGGUAAAUUAUUGAACAACCAGUGAAAAACAUCAUGGUAAUUUUUCAGCUUCUGAUUAUUUGAAAGCAUCCGAUUCUCCUUUUUCCUCCACUUGUGAAGUUUCUUUCCUCUUUCCAACUCUAUCCGAAUAUUUGGCAAAAGCUGCAGAAAGGGCAGACUUGACAGUAACUUCAGGUUCUUUCUUCCUUCGUUUGCUCACAUCGUCUACAUCGUCUUGCUUGUCUUCAAUCAAGGAGGAAGAUUCAGUAUUGUUCCUGAUCGAUGAGCCUGGACUAACUGGCUCAUGUUGAACAGAAGUAUCUGGAAUGGCCUGCCGGCUUGAGUCCACCCGUUUGAAAGGUUCAUGAAAAGUGUCAAACAAGCGC
rnacentral:sRNA from 1 species